rnacentral:rRNA from 1 species
AUGAUCUGCUUCAAUUGCAGUUGGCCUGGUCACUAUGUGGGGAAUUGUGUGGAGCCAAAAAUGUGUUUUAUUUGCGCUGGGAACCAUAAUGUUAACAACUGCGCUGCUUGGGCAAAACCACAGCCUGCUGCCACUUAUUUUGGUAGUGCUGCUUCUGGGCUGGGGUUUUAUCACAUUGAAGUUCCUGUGGCAGCCGAGUCUAGUUGGCUGAAUUACAAAAAUUGUGCUCUUCUCAAGGUGGUCAAAGGCGAGGUUCCACCUUGGAAGAAUGUGGAUGACCUAAUUGAAUUCCCUCCUUUUGAGCUGCCUAUUGCUCGAGUAUUUGUUAAGAUCUGUGAAUGGGAAGGUAUGUUGGAUGAGUUUGGGGCACUUACUGAAGCCUGGGUGCAGAUUGAUGGUAUUCCACCUAAGUGGUGUGCAUGGAAAGUAUUUGCCCAUAUUACUGCUUGCUUUGGUAUCCUUGUGGAUGUGGACUGGAAUGGUUUUUUCAACAGCUUUUAUGAAAAAAUUCGAGUCAAGGUUGCCUGCAGAGAUCCAAGGAAAAUUCCUUUUGGGAGAUUGGUGGAGAUGAAAAAGAAACUGUACCUGCUGUUUUUACAGUAG